GAACCCGUAGCUCAGUUGGUUAGAGCGUUGCAUUGACAUUGCAAAGGUCCCCCGUUCGAGCCGGGGCGGGUUCA
rnacentral:tRNA from 1 species